CCUGGCUUAGGAUGAACGCUAGCGACAGGCUUAACACAUGCAAGUCGAGGGGCAGCAUAGAAGUAGCAAUACUUGGUGGCGACCGGCGCACGGGUGAGUAACGCGUAUGCAACCUACCUAUCAGAGGGGAAUAACCCGGCGAAAGUCGGACUAAUACCGCAUAAAACAGGGGCACCGCAUGGUGAUAUUGUUAAGAAAUUCGCUGAUAGAUGGGCAUGCGUUCCAUUAGGUAGUUGGUGAGGUAACGGCUCACCAAGCCGACGAUGGAUAGGGGAACUGAGAGGUUGGUCCCCCACACUGGUACUGAGACACGGACCAGACUCCUACGGGAGGCAGCAGUGAGGAAUAUUGGUCAAUGGGCGGGAGCCUGAACCAGCCAAGUCGCCGUGAAGGAAGAAGGAUCUAUGGUUCGUAAACUUCUUUUGCAGGGGAAUAAAGUGCAGGACGUGUCCUGUUUUGUAUGUACCCUGAGAAUAAGGAUCGGCUAACUCCGUGCCAGCCGCGGC
rnacentral:rRNA from 1 species